GCCUCAUCCGGUCUCUUUCCUUCACAUCUCUCUCCAAACUCACAGAACGAAGGGGUUUAAGCACAGGAUUUUGAGGGGAUUUGCAGUUACAGCGAGAUUAAUACUGGCCAAUAAACCAAUUCUCAGCCCAAACGGGACACUCUCUCUCUCUCUCUCUCUCUCUCUUCUCCCAGGUUUCAAUUUUUAUUUGGGUUUGCAAAGAAGACAGAAUCCAGAGAAAGAGAGAAGAUGGGGCCAAACUUCUUGCAGGCUUUGAAAGAGAUGGGUUUGACAUAUCUAGGGCAUUUUCCCAAUUCUUGCAACGAGAAACUCUUCUUUUUCCAGAAGUCGAUGAUGCCCUCCUCCCACGGACAGAGAUUUUGCGUUCCUCUUUAUAGCGGUGUUUCUGGGGCCUCACGGUGUGUCGGCUGCAACACGACGGAGUCCCUCUUAUCCUAGUUAAUUCCUGCUGGUUUUUAGACUUUCAAGACAGAGACCUCCGGUUUAUCAUUUUGCUUAACGUGGUCAUUGCUGGCUUCGGUCAGCAACUUCCCUUUGCUUCAAAUCCACAGGUUUCGUUAUGCAUGUCUAAUCAAGGGCUCAAUCUCCUGCUCGUGUCUUGGGGGAAUAGUUGAAGGGAGACCCAGCUUCAGUGAAAACGGCAAAAAUGGGUUGGUGGGUUUAGCACCCAGAGAAACGUCCAAAUCAGGUUAUUUUCCCUUUGGUUUAAGUCUCCUCUUUGAUGGGAUGUUUUAGAUUAGGGUUGAGAAAAUUAGGGUUACUCGUUAACUCCGGAUAUUGAAGGGCGGAAAAACCUAUUUGGGAGAUUAAGCAACUCAGGUCCCAAAAUGGAGCCAAGAAGCCAAGAAGAUUAAGCAGAAAUCUCUAAUUCUUUGUUGUAUGAUGACCCAAAUCCACCCAGUCGAGAGAGGAAGAUGGACCAUGGCCAAAACUAUGUCAUCUCACCUCAAACCCUAGAUCAACCAAAACCCAGAAUUGAUCAUCUACUUCAACCAUCGAUUCCCACUUCAAGUCCACCUUCAGUUGAAUUCCACAAAAUCACAGCUUCAACCCAAGCAAUGCCUCUGCGGGUGGCCAAUUUCCGAUACUUCGAGUGCGUCAAGAACCACUCAGUGAGCCUCGGUAACUAUGCCAUCGAUGGGCGUGCUGAGUUCAUGCCCAGGGACGAGGGCACGCCAGAGUUCUUCCAAUGCAUUGCCUGCUGUUGCCACCUUAACUUCAACUGGAAGGAGAUCAUCGCCCAUGGUGGCAGCGAGCUGGAGAGCUAGAGCAAGGAUCUCGGGGUGUUGAAGAUUGUUAAUAAGGUUCAUUCGUUAACCAUCAGCGAGUGAACUGCAGCUAGUGUUGAUGAUGGAACUGGGAGUUGAUACCUCAAAUAACUGAUAUCAGUGUUUUUAUUAGCCAUUUCAAGAAAGGCAACGGGAGAGAGAGGGAGGAAUUGAGAAAGCCUAAAAGAACAUGUUUAGUGUAGACAGACCUGAUUAGCAUAAUAACAAUUGCUGGUUUCUGUAUUUUCUGGCCGGUAAUGCCUAUAAUACUGGUUAUGCCGAUGUAGUAGACAGUUUUGUGUGGCUGUGACCGUGAGGGCUCGUCACGGACAGUCCACAAAUGUCUCGUGGGAAGUUUGGACAUUGCAUUCUCUGGUUGGUUCUCAGAUUGGUUUGGUCUCAGUGUCAUGCUUAUCUAGUAACUAGUGAAGCUCUUCUUGGUUAUGUCUAUAUGAAUUGUGUAACCCGGGCGUUCUGCCUGAAUGAAGCUGUUCGGCACAUUCCUGAA